AACGCUGGCGGCAGGCCUAACACAUGCAAGUCGAGCGGUAGCACAGAGAGCUUGCUCUCGGGUGACGAGCGGCGGACGGGUGAGUAAUGUCUGGGAAACUGCCUGAUGGAGGGGGAUAACUACUGGAAACGGUAGCUAAUACCGCAUAAYGUCGCAAGACCAAAGUGGGGGACCUUCGGGCCUCAUGCCAUCAGAUGUGCCCAGAUGGGAUUAGCUAGUAGGUGGGGUAACGGCUCACCUAGGCGACGAUCCCUAGCUGGUCUGAGAGGAUGACCAGCCACACUGGAACUGAGACACGGUCCAGACUCCUACGGGAGGCAGCAGUGGGGAAUAUUGCACAAUGGGCGCAAGCCUGAUGCAGCCAUGCCGCGUGUGUGAAGAAGGCCUUCGGGUUGUAAAGCACUUUCAGCGGGGAGGAAGGCGKURAGGUUAAUAACCUURKCGAUUGACGUUACCCGCAGAAGAAGCACCGGCUAACUCCGUGCC
rnacentral:rRNA from 1 species